GGCCCGUUGAGGGCUUUUAGCAAAUCCGAAUCAGUUCCAUGUUGACCACAUCAGCAUGAAGGGUCACGUCCUUGCGAUUUUACUAGCCGCUCUCCUCGAGAAAUCUGUCGCUCAAACCUUGACUCAGUCUGCAAUGUCAAUGACCAGAGCUCCGGGGAAGACUGUACGGUUUGAAUGCAAGUUUGAAGGGAGCGAUUUCGACAAUACGGUUAUCCACUGGUACCGGCACAUCCCGGGUCAAGGUCCACAGCGCAUGUUAUAUUUCAAAAAUCCAUCUUACACUCAGCAAGAUAUCACCGACAAAAUACGAUCUGCUGACAAAAAGCCUGCGACCAAAACGUGCAGCUUGCUCAUGAGGAAUAUCAAGGAGGAUGACUCUGGGGUGUAUUACUGUGCUUUCUGGGCUCACAGUGACAGAAAGUCGGGGGGAACCCGCUCAAAAAGCGAUCGCCAUCCUGCUGAUUGUUUGCAAGCUGUUAUCACACAAACGACAGGUGUAGCAUUUGGAGAUUUCCACCAGCUUUUAAUUCCACGCAGUACUGCACAGAUAGUUCAUUAG